AUUUGCUUGUCCCCAAAAGUGAUUCCUCCAAUAGAUUUUCAUUUUAAAUGGGCAUGCAUAUGUCAGAGCAGAACAUAACCUAGUAGAAUACUUUCCACUUAAAUUUACUGUCAUUUCCCAAAUUUCUUAAAUAUUAGUAAUAUCAAUAAAAAACAGAUUUAACAAAAAGGAUUUUGGAGAUUAUACCUACUUCCAGAAAAACAAUAAACAUUUUAAUAACAUUUGUUAACUCCCAAGAGGAAAAUAUCCUAUGCUACAUAUCCUUACCUAAAGGAAGGAAAAAAAAACCCUGAACAAUAAAAAAGACUGCUUUACUAUGACAAAUUAAGGCAGUAAAAGCACUGUUAAGAGGUACUUCCCUCCUCUCUGACUAAGCACAAUGAACUUCAGGGGUUUCUGUAUAAUCUCUUGUUUUUAGGACAAGCAGAUUUUUAGUCCAUUAAUUUACCAUCAUUAUUACUGGCAGAAAAUUAUUUCAGUCCCCACUGAUGAAAGGGAGGAAGAGAUUACCAAGAAAAUAUCCCACCAUACAAGUUCUUUUUCUUAAACUAAUUUUAUAAGUGAUACUUAUGACAUUUGAAGUAAAUAACUUGAGUACCUCUUACUUGAAAGGUAACAUUUCAUAAGUGAAAAGAUACUUUAUGUUCUUUGGGGGUACAUAUUAGAUGUUACUUUGGUACCUGGUGGUAUUUAAAAGGGAUCCCCCCUUCUCACUGAAGUGAAAUAUUUGAGUGGGAUUGUUUAAGGAGCAGUUGCACUUGAUUAAGAGUUAUCAGGGUGAUCAAAUAUGAAGUGGAAAUAUGAAGAUAUUAGGUGGAAACUUUCCUUUAUCAGAAAAACAUGGGGAACAAUGGUGGCUAUAGAGUUGCAAGGUUAAUUAUUGGAAAGAUGACCUAAAUGAACAGAAAAGUGCCCAAAACAUAUAUUGAGUGUAAUAAUCUAGUUCCCCUAUUAUCUGUUUAAUAAAUAAUGAGUCACUGGAGCACACACAUCGUAGACAACUCUGAGGAGACUGCAGAACUCGGCAGGAGUAAGUCAGGCUUCAUAAGAUAUCUUUUUAGACCACAAGGUGGAAGAACCACUGAAUAGCUCAGAGAAGAGAAAUACAAGCAGAAUUGUUCAUUCACAAGUAGACUCCCUGAAGAAACUCAAAAGCCUGUCACCACCAGGUCUUUUUUCUGGCUAACAUUGCAAUGUAUAAUAACUUCUUACAAGCAUAACUUGCAAUACAUAUUCUUCACAAUAAAUAUUUUGCCCUGAGGCAGUACCCAAGGCUCGAAAAAGCUAACUGAACACCAGAGUGGUGAAAUCUGUUGAUACAAAGAGUGCUUAUUAUUGUAUUUUAUUUAUUGUGUUUAAAUAUGUCAAAAUAUUUCAUGGCACAGUAGUGCUUUCAAAUGUUUUUAAGUCUAUUAAAGGAAAUUAAUAUAUAGAAAUUAAAAUAUAUUUCCUUAUAUUUGUAUGAAAUAUUUGAGUAUUUGCUAAACAUGUCCUCAGGAUACCUACCUACAUAAAUACAUAGGUACGCAUUCAGUACAUAGUUUAUUUCAUAUAUUGAGAAAGAAGCUACAGCUUAACACUUCUCUUAGAUUCCUCUGAAUCUCACAAAGACAGUAAUGUUGUUUUUCCUAGAAGGUUGUCAUAGACAAGAAAAAGAGAACUAUCCAGUGGAUUUGUUUCAACUUAUUUUCUCAAAAGGAGAGUCCAAAGGAAGGCAAUGAGGAUGGUGAAGGGCCUUGAGGCAAAGCCAUAUGAGGAACACCUGGUCUGUUCAGCCUGGAAAAGAGGAGACUGAGGGGAGUCCUCAUCACAAUCUAAAACUUGUAAGGAGAAGAGGGGGCAGACACUGAUCUGUGGUGACCAGUCACAUGACCUGAGGGAAUGGCUUGAAGUUGUGUCAGAGGAGGUUUAGGUUGGAUAUUAGGAAAAGGUUCUCCCAGAGGGUGGUUGGGCACUGGAAGAGGCUCCCCAGGGAAGUGGUCACAGCCCCAAGACUCACAGAAUUCAAGGAGUGUUUGGGCAAUGCUCUCAGGCACAUGCUGUGACACUUGGGAAUGGUGAUGUGCAGGUCCAGGAGUUGUCUUGAUGAUCCUUGUGGGUCCCUUCCAACAGGUGCUUUGGUCUGUAAUGAAACUUUCCUGGGUUUGCCUUUCCUGAUUCUUUGCUAUGUCAUUCUUAAAAACAUACUUGUAAGUAAAAGAAUUAUUACACUCCUAGUAGGCACAAGUAGACUUCUUAAAGCAAUUAUAGCAGUGGAAAACAAUUUGGUUUUGUUCAUAAAUUGCGCUGAACUUCAUCCUUAUGAAUAACUUGUCUUUAAAAUGGGAAUCAUAUUAUAAAACCUAAUUGAUACAAAAUAUAUUUGGGUUGGCUAUAUUCAAAGUACCCUACCUCAGUAAGUUAACACUGGAAUAAUAAAACAUUCAGCCAAUGCAAAAAAGUCUCAAAUUUCAAGAGAGGUCUCUUGUAGGGAUAUAAUAUUCACCCCCUGCCCCCAACUGAUAUUUUCUGAAAAAGAGAAACAGACUAAAAGAAGUUUAAAAAGCUAGAGUCCAUUGCCAAAGCUGCAAUUCUUUUUUUCCUACAGGACUAAGAUAGUGCGAUUAUGAAAGGUGUUGAUUACACAAAGGUAUCAGCACUUGUGCAUCAGUUUACCAUAAACAAAAACCAGGAUAGUCCCUCAGAUAGAUCUUUCAACUUCUUUAUGUCACAACUAUCAACAGAUGUUCCUCAAAAUGAUUGAGGGAACAAACCUAGAAAAUGUACUUGCAUUUUUUCUGUAUGCAUAGCCAUGAAAACAAGGUAUGCAAAACGAGAAGUAGCAUUCUAAUUUUAACUUAUUUUUUAUUUGUACAUGAGAAAUAUCCUGAGAGAAAUAGACUGGGCAUGUGGACUUUUAUUUCUCAAAAGGUCAAGCAGUCUUUGAAUGGAAACAGUGCAGAAACAAUCUCAUAUGACUUUCAAGAAGGCUUGGUAAGUAGUUUUUUCCCACUGUUGAUCUAAACCAGGUAUGGCACUAGCAUAUGGUAUGUUUUUCCCAAUAAACUUCCAAUAGAUUUUCAUAGUAGGACUGUGCAGAACAUAAAAUAUAACACAAGCAGUGCAAAAAGCCCUGUUAAGUCUGUAAAGUUUUCUAUGAUGCAUUUAUUCUUCUCACAGAUAAUCAUUCACCAUUUUUUGUACUUAAGUAGUCUUUCCUACUGUAGAUUCAGCUGCUCUUACAUGAAUAUCUCUCAUAAUGUUUGUCACAGCUUGCUUUUUGUUUGAAAUC
ensembl:lncRNA